rnacentral:misc_RNA from 1 species
CAGCUUAGCGAUCGUUUCAUCGUUUGCCUCCAUUGCCUCUGCCUGCACAAUUGUUUAUCUGCUCCAUUUACUCACACCGACAUUACCUUGUGAAUGAAAACGAGUGACAUUUGACUAAUUAAUCAAAAUGAUUAAAUCUGCGCUAGGGUUGGCAAAAUUUCUCGGAUUACGGGAAAGCGUGUUGGCCGAUGGCCGACUGAUCUCGGCGUUCGUGCGUUUGAGUGCCAUAACCUCAAGGAAGAUUUGCACUACUUCGUUGUGCGACAAGGAGAUUCGAACCGGGAAUGAAAAGGUGAAAGUCGGUACCUCAAAAUAUGGAUUGGUUGAAGGAGAAACUAUGCCCGAGUCAACAGACAUUAGCCAACAAGGACAUCUAUUUCCUGACGCAGAUACGCCGAAUCGACUUUUCAAUGGUGUACCAUACAAGGAAUUGCAUAUUGUCAAUAUAAAAUCAACUCCUAACAAUACACUUAUGACGUUUACGAAUUCUAGUGGAUUGGUAUUAUCACUGCAUACGGCAGGUAUAGAGGGUUUUAAGAAUGCUAAGAAAGGGACAAACCUUGCUGCUCAACAAGCAGCUAUGACUCUUGGCAAUCGUAUUCUUGAAUAUGGUGUGAACACAGUGAGAAUACGAGUACAGGGUAUUGGGCCUGGUAGAAUGUCUUCUAUAAAAGGUCUUCAAAUGACAGGACUGAACAUUGUAUCAAUUACAGAUAGUACCAGAGUAAGUUGGAAUCCUCCAAGGCCACGAAAACAAAAAAGACUGGAGAUGGCGAGAGAGAGAGAGAGAGAGUUGAUAUACUUCCACGCUAUGGGACUUCAACGCUCGCAGGAACUUUGGUGAUUAUGGAAACUUUGGCGCGUGUUUCGUCGCUUCGAUCGUUAUCGUGCUAAGAUUUAUCGAAACUCUUCAAGCUUACCGAUGUAUCUCAGAGAGAAGACGUUCAAGCUCAGCGUUUCAAGACGUCCAACUUGGUACGGCAGCUCAACCGCAGCUGAUAUUCCGCUCGCCUUCAUACGACGUCACGUUCCGUUUGAUCACUAUCCCCGAAGAGUAUGUUACGUGCGCAUCUAAGCGACCGGUAUCUCCGUUGCACCGAGUAGGUACGUAUCCUCAACUUUUAUCAGCGCUCGCGCUUUCGUUUGGUCUCCCGAGAUUCUCGGCGAGUAAAAAACGCGCAGAUUUGAAAUCGCAUUCGAACCUCAACUUCGAUUCGGAUGGAAAACUAAGGCUCACGUACUCUUAGUAAAUACAAAGUCUUUUCUCCCGUAGCGAUAAGAGUAGUAUACGAGUUUCGAACUAAAGCAAAGUGUACAAUCAUUGAAAAAAAAUAUCUUGACAAAGGUACUUACACCACAAAAGUAAAAAAAAAAA